CCCAGGGCAACGCCCUGGGCUGGUAUGUAUCGCCCUUUUAGGGCU
rnacentral:sRNA from 1 species